rnacentral:rRNA from 1 species
UACGUAGGGUCCGAGCGUUGUCCGGAAUUAUUGGGCGUAAAGGGCUCGUAGGCGGUUUGUCGCGUCGGGAGUGAAAACUCAGGGCUCAACCCUGAGCGUGCUUCCGAUACGGGCAGACUAGAGGUAUGCAGGGGAGAACGGAAUUCCUGGUGUAGCGGUGGAAUGCGCAGAUAUCAGGAGGAACACCGGUGGCGAAGGCGGGUCUCUGGGCAGUAACUGACGCUGAGGAGCGAAAGCGUGGGGAGCGAACAGG